rnacentral:lncRNA from 1 species
CUUUGAGCUUAACAUGCUGUGAACAGACAGUGUCUGGAGAGGAUGACAGGAGUGGGAGAGGAAGAUGCCGCUGCAGAGACUUCUAGCAACGAACUCCGACACUGACAUCCCUGGGCAAAUCACUGCCACUUGUUUGAAAAACAGCCUCAAGUGGAUGUCAUGCUGACGAUGCUGAGAUGACUUGAGCCAAAUGAAAUUGCAUGUAUGACUGUUCAUUUCUCCUCACUCCACUCACGGUAGGUGCCAGAGACAGAGGGCCUCAAGCCAGGGAAGGAGGAUGUGACAUUGCUUUCCUCUUCGUAGAGGCGAUGUCACCCUUGGGCACUUGCUCCUAGAGAGCUGCAUGCAGCUGGCAACUGCACCAGCACAGCAAUAUCGCCCACAGCAGGCUCCGCUGAGGCCAAGCCCCACCCCGCCCAGGUUCCUACUCUCCCUUCUGCUUUGCAUUUUGUGAUGAUGGCAAAUCACUCUUUUCCAAACGAAAAAAGAAAAAUGCAAGAUCCAGUCUUGAGAAGGAAUGUUCUCACUUCUCAAAGAGCUACUGGUCUAUAAUGCGAGA